GCUGAAAUUUGUGUAGAAUAGAAUAGAAUAGAAUAGAAUAAUCCUUAUGUCCCACAAUGUGGAUAGUGAGUCAUAGCAGCUAGUUUGUAAAGUAAAUGUUUUGCUCCAAGUUAAAUAUUCAGAUUACAAACUAAAUACGUUGGUGUGACCUAAUUAUUUAAUUUGUAAAAUAAACAUUUAAGUCUAAAUUAAACAUUUGGCUUGUAAUAUUAUUAUUUAGUUGGAAACUUUAACAUGAAUAAUCAUGGUGAAAAUAUUACUUAGAAAAACGAACCACCUAUUUUUUUACCUUCUUCUAGUUUAACUUAAUUGCUGCAAAAAUUAUGUUUGAUUUUAAAUGGCACCACACAGAUAUGUGCAGAAAUAAAAAUUAUUAAUACUUUAAACUAUUAUUCACAGCAUUUUAACCUAUUAAAAUUUUAAUUAUAUUUCAGUUGAUUGCAUUUUGCUGCUUCCACCAAGUCUCAGAAUUAGUUUUCUGAAUUAUACCGUACCAAAUAUAAUUUUUUUCUACAGUCUUUGUAUAAACCCAGUUACUAGGAACUACUUUUUCUUCUGCCUUCCACAGUACAACUCAUUAACUAUUCAGGAAAACGGUCAGAUCAGAUAGAUAAUAAUAUUAACUGCAUUUUGCGAUGUAGGUGAUGACUAACAUGCAGUUACUGUGUUAUUUAUAAAUGGUGUAUUUUACUGGUAAUUCAUCUCGAGUCCCAGUAUUCAUGCGCUCAUGCCCGGGAAAGCACCUGGCUCACGUGAUCACGGUUCACAAGCUGUAGCCAGCGCCGCUGGGCUGCUCAUUGGUCCAGCCGACAAUUGCGCGGCAGUCUUUGGCGGUGUUCUAACCGGUUCUAACCGAACAGCGGCAAGAAAGAAAAAGAACAGGAGGAAAGAACUUCAGCUGCAGGAAUAAAGGGAUUCGCAACGUUCUCCAGUCUGCUGCAGGACGACGAAGACUGUUUUCUCGACGUAGAUGCGUGGAGCAUCACUGCAUGUAAGUGCCCUUUCUCUUUACUGACUUUUAGUCAAACAUUGCUUGCUCAGACUAGUCACCGAUAUUUGAGAAAGGAUAAGUUUGAGUUAACUGCCGUUCUGGUUCAAAAUGUCUUACACGUGUACUGUUUGUAAAUUCAAAGCUGUGUCAACUCCCGCAUUUAUUCGACAUGUUAAAAUGCACAGAAAUGUCGCUAACAUUAGAUUUCACUGUGGCUAUGCAAAUUGUCCUUCUGCUUUUUCAACAGUAAUUGCUCUUCAAAAGCAUAUGUACAGAGUUCAUACGACCACAGUUAAAUCAAGGGCGCAAACGCAAGGACAUGCUUUAGCUUUGUCAUGCAAAUUUGAGGGGUGUACCUUUGUGUCAGAGCGUGUAGCAACCUUAUGGGAGCAUCUGCAGCUACACAAGUCAGGUGGGACAAAAGUGCCUUGCCCCUUUGAUAACUGUCCAAAGACUUUUUCUGUCCGUUCAUCUUUCACCUCACACAUCAGUCUGAAACACAAAGCAAUAAUUUGCACCUCUAUUGCUGCUGCUGCCAGCACAGCUAGCUCCAUGGACACUGAAAUGACUAAAACAGCUCAACCAGGUUUAGAUGACAAUCGUGAAGCAGAAGUGUUGGAUGGUGACACUGAAUUAGAUGAGAAUGAGUUCAUGACCAGUUUGGCCUUGUUCUAUCUCCAGAUGCAGGCUAAAAUGCUGCUGCCUACCAGCAUGAUUCAAAAAAUAAUUGAAGAGUUCCAGCAGGUGCACAGUUCAAGCACAGCCCAUCUUUUGUCUAAGCUGCAUCAAGAUUUGACUCAGUUAAAUGUGCCUGAAAAUGAAAUCAGAAAUCUCAUUGAUAAUCUGUCAAAAAACGACCUGAUGAAAAGAUGCAAUGAAGGAGUUUUUAGAAGUGAUCAAACACGGAAAACGCUUUUCAAGCGUGAAUUCAAUUAUGUUGAGCCAACAGCGAUUUACCUGGGUAUUGACAGAAAUGGAAAAGAGAGAUUUUGCCAGUAUGUGUCUAUUAAAGAGACACUCAAGGCAUUACUUAGCCAAGGAUCAGUUCAAGAGCAAUAUCUCCAAGCAAAAUCUGAAACAUCAACUCCUGAUGUCCUCGAAGAUCUGAGAGAUGGUAAAAUCAUAAAAAACAAUAAAUUAUUAAAUGAAUCACCAUCCUCAGUAGGUAUAAUCUUAUAUCAAGAUUCAUUUGAAGUUGCUAACCCCCUUGGUUCUGGCAGAAAGAAGCACAAGAUCUUGGCUAUGUAUUUGACGCUAGCAGAAAUCACGGCACACAACAGGUCUUCCGUUGACCAAAUGCAACUAGUUUUGUUGUGCAGGGAGGAGGACUUCAAAUUUUUUGGCCAAGAAAAGGUAUUUUGUGCUGCAGUUAAUGACCUGAAAGAAAUUGAAGACAGUGGUAUUCAUGGUCCUAGAGGGAAUAAUGUGAGGGGUACUGUUUUGGCCAUAACAGGAGAUAAUCUAGGAUCUCAUUCCAUUGGAGGUUUUACUGAAAACUUCAGUAGAAGCAGAUACUUCUGCAGAUAUUGCCUCAUUGACAGGGAAACCUGGGAGCAAUCUCCAACAAAACCUGGUCCAGCUAGAUCAGUAGAGACCUACAAAAACUGUGUGGCAGAGGGGGAAAUGGCAUAUGGGGUAAAGUUUGACUCUGUGUUCAAUCAGCUGAAGUAUUUUCAUGUUUGCCAGCCAGGCCUCCCUCCAUGUCUGGGUCACGAUCUGUUUGAAGGGAUUGUUUCUGUUGAUCUUGCUCUAUAUAUAAAGCACUUAGUAAAGAUUGAGAAACAGUUCACAUAUAACCACAUAAACAGGAUAAUAUCAUAUUUCCCCUACAAAGGCAGCGAUGCCAACAAUAAACCAUGUGAGGUAAAAGCAGAUGGCGAAAAGCUUGGUGGCCAUGCUGCUCAGAACUGGUGCCUCUUGCGUCUCCUUCCUGUAAUGGUUGGGGACAGAAUAAAAAAUCCCCUUGAAAAUGAUGUUUGGCAGUUGUGUCUCAAGUUGAGAGAGGUUGUUGAGCUAAUAUGUGCACCGAAGAUCCACAAAAACCAAGUUGCAUAUCUUCAAAUGCUUAUUGAGGAGUACCUUGAAAUGAGAAGAAAAAAAUUCCCAGGAAAUUCACUGCAACCCAAACAUCAUUACCUUGUUCACUACCCUGCGCUUAUCCUCCAUUUUGGUCCACUUAUUCGAUUAUGGACGCUGCGUUUUGAAAGCAAGCACAGUUAUUUUAAACAGUGUGCAAGGAAGCUUCAUAAUUUUAAAAAUCUCUGCAGCACUUUAGCUGAAAGACACCAGCUGCUGCAAGCUUACUUGCUUGCUGGCAGAUUCUUUCCGCCAUUGCUUCAAAUAGGGGAAUCCAUGAAGUUCCAUGACAAACUCUACCAGAUCGCAAUACAGAGAGCUGCCAGUCUCCGUGACCUUCAUCCAGAGAACACUUUUGAAACAGCCUCUGUUACAUUUAAAGGGACGCUGUACCAAAGAGGCAUGGUUAUUGUUGUCAACCAAAAUGACACAGGCUACAAGUUUGGGAAAAUUGUGCUCAUACUGAUUAAUCAGUCAUGUGUGCAUGUUGUUGUUGAGCUGUACCAGUCAGUGCGUGUUUUGGAUCUCGGUGUACACUGUCUACAAAACAGUCAUGAUGCUCAUUACGAGUGUGUGUCUAUGGACAGUCUUGCAGACUACUAUCCAUUGGCCACAUAUAAUCAGUUUAGUCUGAACUUGAUUGCCUUGCACCAUUCAGUGUGUUACAGGUAAAAGACAUGGACUCCAUUGAGCAUGCAAUACAGAGCGUGCUACCACAGCUACAGAGGGAGAAGGUGGAAGCAGUGAUUCACGAGUUUGAAACCACAUUGGGUGUGGAAGGGCCAGAUGAUCUUCAGUUUAUCAAAGAGGCAGACAUCAGUCACCUACUAUCACCCAUUCAGUGCAGAAGAUUGAUUAAUUCUUUCAAAAGUCAUCCAAAAAGUCCUCAGCCUAUCACCUCCUCACCCGUUUCUUCCCCCUCUAGCUCAUUUUCAAAUGAGCCUUACACCAGUCCAUUAACCAGUCCACAAGGACACAGCAAAUGGGUAGACGGAUUUCAGGUGCAAUGGGACAAAAUGAGGCCCGCUCUCAAAAGAGCCAUUGAUGAUGGUAAUCGUCCAGAGCCAGGGGAUCGCAGACACAUGGUGAAAGUCAUUGUUGAUUC